UAAGCGCGAAAUAUGCAUCAUAUAUGGUGCCUCGGUCUUAAGCGCAGACACAUGCAAAAGAUGGUUUGCUCGCUUCCGUUCCGGAGAAUUUAACCUCCAAGAUGCACCAUGCUCUGGACGGCCAAAUUCUGUUAACGACGAUCAACUCCUGGUUACAGUGAAGAGUGAUCGACACUUAACAACUCGAGAGAUUGCGAAGCGCUUCGGCAUUCAUCAUACAACCGUUAAGUUAUAAUAAUUAAAUUAUCGUAUUUAUGUACUGGUACGAGAAUCUGCCGGUGGCGGAGUUGUUAAACACUUGAUUCAUCAUAGCGUAGUUAGUCUUGCAUACACGUAUUGAGUGAUAUUUGUGCGACAAAACAUAAUUUGCAACAAAUCAUAAUUUGGAUGACAAAAACUUAAAAAAUGUCAAAAGAACAAGAAAGCAGAGAGAAAAAAAACUACGAUCAAGACGACGUCAAUGAUGCAGUGGAUGCUGUCAAAAAAGGCAUGUCAUUACGUGUUGCCAGUAAAACAUUUGGUGUUCCCUACUGCACAAUUUAUGUAAAAUCUAAAAAUAUUGUUCCUUUGAUGACUCGAAAGGGCCCACGAACAUAUUUAACAAAAGAAGAAGAAAACAAUCUUGUAGAAUGGAUUAUGUAUCUGGGUGAACGUGGAUUUCCAGUAAAUAAAAAUCAACUUUUAGACAGUGUGAGAGAUGUAAUUGUUCAAUUGAAGAGAGAAACUCCUUUCGUCAACAACAGACCUGGUCGUCACUGGUACGAGGCAUUUCUCCGGCGUCAUCCUCAGUUAACUUCAAGAGUAGCUCAAACGUUAACAUCAACUCGUGCUUCAGCAACAGAGGAGGUUUUACGUAAUUGGUUUAAAGAAGUCGAACAACACUUGAGAAAAUUAGAUUUGCUAGAAAUCGAACCAUCGAGAGUUUUUAAUUGCGAUGAAAGUGGAUUUCAACUUUGUCCAAAACCAGGUUAUGUUAUUGUAAGAAAAGGUUCCAAGUCUGUGUAUAAAAUUGCUAAUGGUGAUGAAAAGGAGUGCUUGACUUCAUUAUUUAUGGUGAAUGCAGCUGGCUCAAUGGUCCCACCUAUGGUUGUGUAUUGGUACCAAAGAGUGCCAUAUAGUGUAAGCAGGAAAAUGCCUGCAGGAUGGAGCAUUGGCUUGACUGAAAAGGGAUGGAUGACUGCGGAGUCAUUCUUUGAAUAUAUUUCAAACAUCUUUUAUUCAUGGCUGAUAAAAAAUCAAAUUAAAUUUCCAGUCGUCCUUUACCUUGAUGGUCAUUCAUCGCACUUGACUUUGCCUCUGGUUCAGUUUUGUCGCAGUAACCAAAUUGAAUUAAUUGCAUUGUAUCCCAACGCAACCCACAUUCUCCAGCCGUUAGACGUAUCUGUGUUCCAUCCUUUAAAAAAUGCGUGGCAAAAGACUGUGAGUAAUUGGAGAUUACAAAACGAAGGUCAACGUUUGAGAAAAGAAGAUUUUGCUCCAGUAUUGAAAACAACACUCGACUCUUUAACAAACUUAGAAAAUAUGAUUAAAAAUGGGUUCAAAACCUGUGGAUUACUACCUUUUUCAGCAAAUACUGUUAAUUUUAAUAUAUUAAAUAAAAAUAAGAAACCUGGCUGCACUGAGAGCGAGACCAAUGACAUGAAUUUGAAUUCUACCAAUAAUAAACACAAAUAUAAUAAUCAGUUACAAAUGUUUGAAAAAAAUAUUGAUUCGGAGAUACUAAAAGAUUUCAAAUCAGCGGAGCUCACUGGAUCAUGGACUGGACCAAUUCAAUACGAAGGAUUGUUUAUGUACUGGAUGAACAUCAAGCAACAAUGAGAGAAAAUUGUUGCCGUAGAAAACAAAGAAGAACAUAGUUCAGUAUUAAGUACGAAAAAUAGUAAUGUCACUUUAGAUUCUAAUCUAUCGCUUCAUUUUGACGAAAGAAUGAUUGAGAGUGUGAAUGAUGAAUGUAAUAUUACUGUAAAUAAUACGGAAUGUGUAAGCGAAAAAAAUAGUUACGUUCUAGUUGAAAAUCAAGAACUAAAUCUAGAAAAUGAAGACAUUCCUAUCAUAAUAGUACAAGAUUCUAAUAUUGAAGUAUUAGAUACGAAUAUUUCACAAGAUUCCAAUAUUAAAAUAUUAGAUAUAAAUAUUUCACAAGUCAAAUGUAGCACUGAUGACAAUAAUAACUAUAGUAAUAAUAACGUACAAAAUCGGAUGUCUUCACCGUUUAAAAAUAAAUUGUUUUUAUUUGGCCAAAACCAGUCGAGAAAAAGAAAAAGUCGAAAGAAAAAAUCCCAACAGUAGCCACUUCUGAAGAAUGGAUUCAAUAUCAUUUAAAAAAAGAAAAAGAAAAGCUUCAGAAACAACAAGAAAUUGAAGAAAGAAAG